ensembl:lncRNA
UGACAAAUGAUUUGUUUACUUGUAUUCAGAGGUGGGUUCCCCUUUUCCACAGAGUGGACGUACUAACCUACCAUCAUACACUAACCCAGCUGAUUCUAAUUAGCACAGACUUGUCCAGCGCUAGAAGAACCAGAGAGCUGCUUCACAGAAGAAAGAAGAAGAAGAAGAAGCAGAAGGAGGAAAUGAGAGAGCUUUUUAGUGAAGCCGUGAGCUGCUGAAUGAUUUCUGAGUUUUUAAUUUAAUCUCUGAUCCAGAAUCCUAAAUUGUGGUGGUCUCCUUUACCUACCGUGUAGUGAUUAGAAAACUAUCAUGAUUCAGUGAUCCCGUGUGUGAAGCUGCUCGGUUUUGUACUCUGUAUAGCAAUAAAAAUACACAACCAUUUUAUCAUGAGAUCUGCUGGACAAUUUAAAAAUAAAUAAAUAAAUCAGA